rnacentral:RNase_P_RNA from 1 species
CCAGACGGCCGGACGGUCGCGGUCCUCGCAAGAGGGUCGAGGAAAGUCCGGGCUCCACGGUGAAAAGGCGGUGGGUAACGCCCACCGGGGGUGACCCUAGGGACAGCGCCACAGAGAGCAGACCGCCCUUGCAGCUUCGGCUUCCGGGGUAAGGGUGAAAGGGUGGGGUAAGAGCCCACCGCGGACCGGGCGACCGGGACGGCAUGGCAAGCCCCGCCUGGAGCAAGCUCGAAUAGGGACCACGCGCCUUUCGGGGCAGGGCUCACCGGCCCAGUGGUCCGGGUAGAGCGCGAGAACCCGCCAGCAAUGACGGGUCCAGAGGAAUGACCGUCCAGGGCUGCGGCCUGGACAGAACCCGGCUUACAGGCCGUCUGGCAUU